CCGCCUCUCUUGCGAUAUCCGCC
rnacentral:siRNA from 1 species